UACGUAGGGUGCAAGCGUUAAUCGGAAUUACUGGGCGUAAAGCGUGCGCAGGCGGUGAUGUAAGACAGGUGUGAAAUCCCCGGGCUUAACCUGGGAACUGCAUUUGUGACUGCAUCGCUGGAGUGCGGCAGAGGGGGAUGGAAUUCCGGGUGUAGCGGUGGAAUGCGUAGAGAUCCGGAAGAACACCGGUGGCGAAGGCGGUCUGCUGGGGUGAGGCUGACGCUGAUGCGCGACAGCGUGGGGAGCAAACAGG
rnacentral:rRNA from 1 species